rnacentral:rRNA from 1 species
GACGAACGCUGGCGGCGUGCUUAACACAUGCAAGUCGAACGGAAGGGCCCUGCUUUUGUGGGGUGCUCGAGUGGCGAACGGGUGAGUAACACGUGAGUAACCUGCCCUUGACUUUGGGAUAACUUCAGGAAGCUGGGGCUAAUACCGGAUAGGAGCUCCUGCUGCAUGGUGGGGGUUGGAAAGUUUCGGCGGUUGGGGAUGGACUCGCGGCUUAUCAGCUUGUUGGUGGGGUAGUGGCUUACCAAGGCUUUGACGGGUAGCCGGCCUGAGAGGGUGACCGGCCACAUUGGGACUGAGAUACGGCCCAGACUCCUACGGGAGGCAGCAGUGGGGAAUAUUGCACAAUGGGCGGAAGCCUGAUGCAGCAACGCCGCGUGCGGGAUGACGGCCUUCGGGUUGUAAACCGCUUUCGCCUGUGACGAAGCGUGAGUGACGGUAAUGGGUAAAGAAGCACCGGCUAACUACGUG